CCUACGGGUGGCAGCAGUAGGGAAUCUUGCGCAAUGGGCGAAAGCCUGACGCAGCAACGCCGCGUGGGGGAUGAAGGCUCUCGGGUUGUAAACCCCUUUCAGCAGGGACGAUGAUGACGGUACCUGCAGAAGAAGGACCGGCCAACUACGUGCCAGCAGCCGCGGUAAUACGUAGGGUCCGAGCGUUGUCCGGAUUUAUUGGGCGUAAAGAGCUCGUAGGCGGCUCAGUAAGUCGGAUGUGAAAACUCGGGGCUCAACCCCGAGACGCCAUCCGAUACUGCUGUGGCUUGAAUCUGGUAGGGGAGAUCGGAAUUCCUGGUGUAGCGGUGAAAUGCGCAGAUAUCAGGAGGAACACCGGUGGCGAAGGCGGAUCUCUGGGCCAGUAUUGACGCUGAGGAGCGAAAGCGUGGGUAGCAAACAGGAUUAGAUACCCUUGUAGU
rnacentral:rRNA from 1 species